rnacentral:rRNA from 1 species
UGCUCCAUGGCCAAGAGACUGAAUUGAUCAAGACGGCUUUCGGCUGUCGCUAUAGGAUGGGCCCGCGGCGCAUUAGCUAGUUGGUGAGGUAACGGCUCACCAAGGCGACCGUAGCCGACCUGAGAGGGUGAUCGGCCACACUGGGACUGAGACACGGCCCAGACUCCUACGGGAGGCAGCAGUAGGGAAUCUUCCACAAUGGGCGAAAGCCUGAUGGAGCAACGCCGCGUGAGUGAAGAAAGGUUUUCGGAUCGUAAAACUCUGUUGUAAGGGAAGAACAAGUACAGUAGUAACUGGCUGUACCUUGACGGUACCUUAUUAAAAAGCCACGGCUAACUACGUGCCAGCAGCCGCGGUAAUACGUAGGUGGCAAGCGUUGUCCUUAGUCGGAAUUAUUGGGCGUAAAGGCGCAGGCGGUCCAAUCACGUUUAAGUCUGAUGUGAAAGCCCACGGCUCAACCGUGGAGGGUCAUUGGAAACUGGGGGACUUGAGUGCAGAAGAGGAAAGUGGAAUUCCAAGUGUAGCGGUGAAAUGCGUAGAGAUUUGGAGGAACACCAGUGGCGAAGGCGACUUUCUGGUCUGUAACUGACGCUGAGGCGCGAAAGCGUGGGGAGCAAACAGGAUUAGAUACGUCCACGCCGUAAACGAUGAGUGCUAAGUGGUUAGGGGGUUUCCGUUAGUCACCCCUUAGUGCUGGCAGCUAACGCAUUAAGCACUCCGCCUGGGGAGUACGGUCGCAAGACUGAAACUCAAAGGAAUUGACGGGGGCCCGCACAAGCGGUGGAGCAUGUGGUUUAAUUCGAAGCAACGCGAAGAACCUUACCAGGUCUUGACAUCCCGCCACUGUAUUAGCGAGAUAUAGUUUCCCCUUCGCAACGGUGACAGGUGGUGCAUGGUUGUCGUCAGCUCGUGUCGUGAGAUGUUGGGUUAAGUCCCGCAACGAGCGCAACCCUUGAUCUUAGCAUCAUUUAGUUGGGCACUCUAAGGUGACUGCCGGUGACAAACCGGAGGAAGGUGGGGAUGACGUCAAAUCUUAGCCAUCAUGCCCCUUAUGACCUGGCACACGUGCUACAAUGGACGAUACAAACGGUUGCCAACUCGCGAGAGGGAGCUAAUCCGAUAAAGUCGUUCUCAGUUCGGAUUGUAGGCUGCAACUCGCAUGAAGCCGGAAUCGCUAGUAAUCGCGGAUCAGCAUGGCCGCGGGUGAAUACGUUCCCCGGGCCUCCAGUCAUGUACACACCGCCCGUCACACCACGAGUGUAACACCCGCGGUGAGGUAACCUUUUGGAGCCAGCCGAAGUCCAGUA